UGUUCAGCCCUUUUCCCUUUCUGCCCUCUGCCAUGUGAGGUCACAGUGUUCCUCCCUCCUGAGGAUGCAGUGUUCAUGAAAGCAAACACUGGGCCCUCACCAGGCAACAAACCUGCUGGUGCCUUCAUCUUGGACUUCCCAGCCUUCGGAACUAUGGAGCCCGCACUCUCCAGUUCAUCACCACCCCAGCAUCCCUACUCUUGCAUCUAACAGUUUCCGCUAUUUUGCACCACCUGCCUGGCCCUUAUGGGCAACUCAAGGAAGAAAGGAAAGAAGAGAUAGAGGAAAAAUGGAUUCAACAAAUGAAAGUGUUCUUUCUGACUACUGCUGUGUUUACAAACAUUUUAAUCAUCAAAACAUGCUUUAUUUGAUAGAAAGAUCAAAUCUGCCUUUGUAAAACAAGAGACUAUUUUAAUCAUUAAGACAACACACAUGUUUGAUUUGGAGGCGUGUUCUCAUUCAAAACCUUGCAAAAUAUAAUUUCUUCUUGUCUGGGAGAUGGUGUCUUUCUUCGGGGAGAACCUUGAGAGAAAUGUCUAUGAAUGUGUCUGUAGAUUGAGGAUAGGCCAACAAACAUAUUUUGAAAUAUUUUUUCUUUCUUUUAAAAAAAUAGAUACUUUUAAAAGAAAAUGCUUAUUUAAAUUACAUAGCUCUUUUUUUCACUCUCAGUCAUCAUUUGUGGUUUCAGUCAGUACUACAUUUAUUCCCCAGAGCUAGGAUUGCUGUGUUUUUAGAAAGGGAGCCUGUUUGAAGGGACUCUAUACUCUUGCAGUAAUUAAAAUCCUUUUAGGAGUCUUUGACUUUGACUUACUGCUUUGUUUUAAAUUAUUGAAAUUAUUCAACUUCCCCAUUCUAACCCACGGAAGGCUGUUGUUGUUCUCAUUUAUAAUGGCACAAUAUAAGUUUAAAGAUAGCUGUCUCCACAUGAAUGCAUCUGCAAAUCCAUCUCUCUUCUCUCUUCUGCCAUCCAGGUUAAGAAGCUCCACUGCGCUUUGUCCAUUGCAAGUUGAGAAGUGAGGCCCCAGCUGUCACAUACAGUGAGUGAAGAAGCUGAGCUUCCCUCAACGCCUGGGCCUGCAGUGGUGGCUGAGAGGAAGAACUGACACCUUUGUGCUAUCAGAGCACUUUGCAGAGGAGCUGUUAGUGGCCCUGUAGGAGUCUGCUGGCCAUACAUCUGGGUGUCAAAUCAAGAGAGCAUGAGAAGUUGGACAGGAAAGGUCCAAGGCAAAAUGGUUACUAAAGGCCAUCCCUGAUCCUGACCCUAAAAGAAGAAAAGGCCCUUUGCUCUUGGCAUGCUUUUGCAGGAGUGUCUCAGUCUGUUUGGGCUGCUAUAACAUUGACUGGGUGAUCUGCCUGCCUGGCCUCCCAAAGUGCUGGGGUUACAGGUGUGAGCCGCUGCACCAGGCCUUGAGGUCAGGAGUUCGAGACCAGCCUGGCCAACAUGGUGAAACCUGUCUUUACUAAAAAUACAGAAAUUAGCCAGGCAUGGAGGCGCAUGCCUGUAAUCCCAGCUACUGGGGAGGCUGAGGCAGGAGAAUCGCUUGAACCCAGAAGGUGGAGGUUGCGGUGAGCCCAGAUAGUGCCAUUGCACUCUAGCCUGGCCAACAAGAGUGAAACUCUGUCUCAAAAAAUAAAUAAACAAACAAACAAACAACAAC
rnacentral:lncRNA from 10 species